rnacentral:rRNA from 1 species
UGCGGAGGGUGCAAGCGUUGUCCGGAUUUAUUGGGUUUAAAGGGUGCGUAGGCGGCUCUUUAAGUCAGUGGUGAAAUCCUACAGCUUAACUGUAGAACAGCCAUUGAUACUGAAGAGCUUGAGUACAGACGAGGUAGGCGGAAUUUAUGGUGUAGCGGUGAAAUGCAUAGAUACCAUAAAGAACUCCUAUUGCGAAGGCAGCUUACUAGGCUGUAACUGACGCUGAGGCACGAAAGCGUGGGGAUCAAACAGG